rnacentral:rRNA from 1 species
AUACGGAGGGUCCGAGCGUUAAUCGGAAUUACUGGGCGUAAAGCGCGCGUAGGUGGAUGUAUAAGUCAGAUGUGAAAGCCCUGUGCUCAACCUAGGAACUGCAUUUGAAACUGUACGUCUAGAGUAUGGUAGAGGUGAGUGGAAUUUCAGGUGUAGCGGUGAAAUGCGUAGAGAUCUGAAGGAACAUCAGUGGCGAAGGCGACUCACUGGGCCAUUACUGACACUGAGGUGCGAAAGCGUGGGUAGCAAACAGGAUUAGAAACCCUUGUAGUCC